rnacentral:tRNA from 1 species
GCCUGGGUGGCUCAGUGGGCUGAGCAUCCGACUUCAGCUCAGGUCAUGAGCUCAGGUCUGUGAGUUCGAGUCCCGCAUCAGGCU